rnacentral:ribozyme from 1 species
GGGGUGUGAAAUAGACUUACCUCCCCGUGGUGCACCCUGGGCAACGUAUUACCCACACGGCAAAAAAGUCCAU